GAGUAGUAGUCUUACCCCCUCAACAACAUCAUUGCUUCUCACUUUUAUGGCCAUUGCUAACAAAGUAACGGACAUAUUAUAAGCCCCUUGAACUUUUUCGUCGUCCUCAAUUGCAUGCUUGGCGUCGUAAUAGUGUAGCAGCGUUGCACCCGAGAGCACCGCCAGCGUCAGAGCCUGGGCAUGCAUCCUAUAAUCCACCACACCAAGCUUUGUAUUAGCGCCUGGGCCAUGCAUCCUAUACAGGUUUAUUCUUAUUAUAAAAUGAGAUGAUUUUUGUUUAUGAAUUUUUGAGGAUGUGAUAAAAUUUCAAGCCUAGCAUAUUCUCUAGAAAAUGUGUGGCCGUAUCACAUGACCAAUCUGUGAGCGAUUCUCCUGCAGCUUUGCAGCCAGCCUAGAGAAGCCGUAGAGUUAUUUAUCAGGACCCAAAGGGGAAAGCUCUGGUGCAGGAAGAUGCGGGAGUUCAUCUCAAUCCAAGAAUAGCUGAUUGCAAGAGUGGAGGAAAAUUCUCGGUGCGUGAGAUGCAGCAAGUUAUGAGGAGGAUCUGAAGAAUCUAUUUCACGUUAAAAUCACCAUUUAUCUCAAAAACUUAACCCGAUAAAAUAAGAUAAAUUUAUUUUAUAUUUUUUUUAUCGGAGGCACAGCUACGAAAGUGCCUACGCAGCGAAGUGGUUAUUGGUUGCGGUGUUGGAAACAACUCGGGCAAGCGGCCAUUUAAUUAAUAACUAAUGCAAGGAGUGGAGGAUGUCAAAAUUCCCAUCAGAGCAACGAGGAUUGCAAAAAAUAGUGAAAAGGAAGUAGAUAAGAGAGAGCCCGUAACUCAAUACAACAGCAACAACAGAACAACGCGGCAGCUUUAAAAUUCCCAAUUACCAUUAGGUACACAGUACGCGUACAACAAAGCGAACAUGACAUCUUGAUACGGCCGCUUAUUUAGUUCAUAUGCCCAUUUCAGGGCAAUUUAUGCGAGGAUGUAGCAGUCGCUGCAGCCAUUAGUAUAGUAGCACACCUACGAUUUUACUCUGCAGCUAUGGGACCGGGGGUCGUCGACAAUGGUAAUUGUUCUUCCUGCACCUCCGAGAAUAUGGACGGCCAGACAUUGGUGGCCGGGGACGAUAUGGGUUGGCACCAUAUCCGAUGCGGUCCGUGGCAUCCACAGGCGUCUGGCCACCAGUUGCUGCAUCCAUGCGCCAACAGCAAGUUAUAUCCGUAUUUAGAUUUAACCAACAAGCAAGAUAUAAUUAUGUUUGGAAUGUUUUCUUUCAGCGGAAAAGAUUUUUAUGGUUUCUUACGGGGGAUGCACACUAAAACCUAAGCUUAGCUGAUUUUGUUUUUGUUUUCUUUUCUUUUUUCAAGAAAAAUAUCAUGGCAGCACCACUGCCUAGGUUCGAGCCUUGGAUCUCUUCGAGAUCAAGAUGGAUGCCAACCAGUUGAGCUAAGAAUUGUGAUGGAUUCUAAUAAUGAGAUAGAUUCGAUAGCAUGGAAUAUAAAGCAAAUAUAAAUGAUGUUAUAGCGAUCUUAAGAAAAAAAAAGCAUUACAACUUACCCUAGACUAAAUGCUUUAUUUUUCAUACACAUGGCCCAUGUCUUGGUAGAGUAGGG
rnacentral:lncRNA from 1 species